UUGUUGGCAUGGUAGGGGAGAUGCCAUGGUCAUGGAAGGUGGGUUGUCUAGGGUGAAGCUAAUUCUUCACGCUCCAGAUGUGCAGAUCUCUCUAAAUUCCCAAAUGGAAGAACCUCAGCUGUGUAAUUUUUGCUAGCAGGAGACUGUCUGCAUCCAUCCCCGGC
ensembl:snRNA U1 U1 spliceosomal RNA